UGAUUUGGGUUCGGGAUCGACCUUGGAGCUAGCUGGCAGUUGUGUUUACUGACCGGUAGAUGAGGUGAUCUGACCAGACAAGUGUUAGAUUGGAUUUAGUGCAAUGGAUGAUAGAUGUUAUUCCGCUGUGCAUAAGUUGAAAGGAUCUAGCUAGGGAAUGACUAAGGUAGUCUUGACCUAGGAUCUGAGUUAGCCCUCGCCAAUGGGCGAUAUUUUAAAUAAA
rnacentral:lncRNA from 1 species